rnacentral:rRNA from 1 species
CCUACGGGAGGCAGCAGUGGGGAAUUUUGGACAAUGGGCGCAAGCCUGAUCCAGCAAUGCCGCGUGCAGGAUGAAGGCCUUCGGGUUGUAAACUGCUUUUGUACGGAACGAAAAAGUCUGCCCUAAUACGGUGGGCCCAUGACGGUACCGUAAGAAUAAGCACCGGCUAACUACGUGCCAGCAGCCGCGGUAAUACGUAGGGUGCGAGCGUUAAUCGGAAUUACUGGGCGUAAAGCGUGCGCAGGCGGUUAUAUAAGACAGAUGUGAAAUCCCCGGGCUCAACCUGGGACCUGCAUUUGUGACUGUAUAGCUAGAGUACGGUAGAGGGGGAUGGAAUUCCGCGUGUAGCAGUGAAAUGCGUAGAUAUGCGGAGGAACACCGAUGGCGAAGGCAAUCCCCUGGACCUGUACUGACGCUCAUGCACGAAAGCGUGGGGAGCAAACAGGAUUAGAUACCCUGGUAGUCCGCGCCCUAAACGAUGUCAACUGGUUGUUGGGUCUUCACUGACUCAGUAACGAAGCUAACGCGUGAAGUUGACCGCCUGGGGAGUACGGCCGCAAGGUUGAAACUCAAAAGGAUUAGACGG